UAGCUACGGGAGGCAGCAGUGAGGAAUAUUGGUCAAUGGACGGAAGUCUGAACCAGCCAAGUCGCGUGAAGGAUGACGGCCCUAUGGGUUGUAAACUUCUUUUGCAGGGGAAUAAAGAUAUUCACGUGUGGAUAGUUGUAUGUACCCUGCGAAUAAGCAUCGGCUAACUCCGUGCCAGCAGCCGCGGUAAUGCUA
rnacentral:rRNA from 1 species